GACAGAGGGUGCAAACGUUGUUCGGAUUUACUGGGCGUAAGGCGCGUGUAGGCGGCUUGGCAAGGCGGAUGUGAAAGCCCACGGCUCAACCGUGGAAGCGCAUCCGAAACUGCUUCGCUCGAGUCUCGGAGAGGAAGGUGGAAUGCUUGGUGUAGAGGUGAAAUUCGUAGAUAUCAAGCAGAACACCUGCGGCGAAGGCGGCCUUCUGGACGAUGACUGACGCUGAGACGCGAAAGCGUGGGGAGCAAACCGG
rnacentral:rRNA from 1 species